GCUGAUCAGCCAUGCCGCGUGUGUGAGAGGCCUUUUGGUUGUAAAGCACUUUAAGCGAGGAGGAGGCUCCUUUAGUUAAUACCUAAAGUGAGUGGACGUUACUCGCAGAAUAAGCACCGGCUAACUCUGUGCCAGCAGCCGCGGUAAUACAGAGGGUGCGAGCGUUAAUCGGAUUUACUGGGCGUAAAGCGUGCGUAGGCGGCUUUUUAAGUCGGAUGUGAAAUCCCUGAGCUUAACUUAGGAAUUGCAUUCGAUACUGGAAAGCUAGAGUAUGGGAGAGGAUGGUAGAAUUCCAGGUGUAGCGGUGAAAUGCGUAGAGAUCUGGAGGAAUACCGAUGGCGAAGGCAGCCAUCUGGCCUAAUACUGACGCUGAGGUACGAAAGCAUGGGGAGCAAACAGGAUUAGAUACCCUGGUAGUCCAUGCCGUAAACGAUGUCUACUAGCCGUUGGGGCCUUUGAGGCUUUAGUGGCGCAGCUAACGCGAUAAGUAGACCGCCUGGGGAGUACGGUCGCAAGACUAAAACUCAAAUGAAUUGACG
rnacentral:rRNA from 1 species